CAAAGUUAGCCUUGAGCUCCGCCGCAGUGAGGGUAAAUGCCGGGAGGUUUGGGAUAGCCUCCGACGCCAGCGACGUUCUUCCAUCGAAUCUCCCCGUGGGUAAUUGAUAAUAGAGCCCACUAGUCUGCUCCACAGUAGAAUUUAAAGUUUUAACCGAGGAGUUCUUGCAAAACUUACCAGGAAGAAAGAGUCCCGAGCCGAGAGGGCGAGGACAUCUGCGCACGACACAACGUUUCCACACACGGCGGUGAUGGCGUCCUUGGCUUCGUCGAUGAUCUCGAAUCCUCGGACGGAGCCUUUGUUGGGGAGGGCUUCCUUCUCCACAACUUGGCCACCGGGUGUAACGUCCAGCAACAACGAUCCAUCACACCCCUGUCAAAGAACAGUCAUAUAACGUCAUUUAGCUAGAACGUUGUCGGUGCCAAACAAUUGAGUGACGAUCCAAAGAAAUAAACAUUGAUGAUCCAAAGAUCCGAGCCAAGAAGAACUUUACCCUCACAAAACAAUCGUGGAAAUGCAGCCGGAUGAGCGCCGCUGGGACGGUCCGGUUUUGCAAGAAGUGCUUAAAGACGGUGGCCGAGACGAUCGCUUC
rnacentral:lncRNA from 1 species